AGCAUUUAUCUGUUUCUACAAGAUACACAAACCUUAAAGCUUGAAACUUACAACCAAAAGGAGGAGCAUGGUAUCUAAAAACUCCAACCCUUCAGAGGCUUUUUACAUGGGCCCUUCUGCUAUGUCGCUCCCCGGAAUACUUCCUUUUGUCGCCGCUACCGCUGCCGAUUCUCUUGAGGACCCUGCUAAGAAGACUCGCAAACCUUACACUAUCACCAAGUCUAGGGAGAGUUGGACCGAACCCGAGCACGACAAGUUCCUCGAAGCUCUUCAGCUACUCGUCGAAAGAGAGAGAAUCAGAAGGGAAUUAGGCAGAUUUGACCGUGACUGGAAAAAGAUUGAAGCAUUUGUUGGAUCAAAGACAGUUAUCCAGAUACGAAGCCAUGCUCAGAAAUACUUUCUAAAAGUUCAGAAGAAUGGGACAAGUGAACAUCUUCCUCCACCCAGACCAAAAAGAAAAGCUGCUCAUCCAUACCCUCAGAAAGCUUCAAAAAAUGUUCCAAUGCUCUCACAAGUAUCAGGGUCCUUUCAAUCAUCAUCGGCUUUGCUUGAACCAGGGUACAUUAUGAAGCGUGAUUCUUCAGCAAUGCUUAAAACUCCUAUUAUUAACGCUGCAGCGUCUUCCUGGUCAAACAAUUCUCUGCAGAAAAGCACCAAUUUAUUGCAUGGCCACAAAGUGAAUAAUUGUUGCAGUAACGGUGGAAGUCCUAGAGCACAGUUGGUUGGUGAAGCUAAUGGUCAAGGGAAUAAUAUCCAUCCAUUGAGAAUUCUUCCAGAUUUUGGUCAAGUUUACGGCUUCAUUGGUAGUGUAUUUGAUCCAAAUGUAACUGGACAUCUGCAGAAACUGAAACGAAUGGACCCUAUAGAUGUUGAGACAGUGCUAUUGUUGAUGAGAAACCUGUCUAUCAAUUUAGUAAGCCCAGAUUUUGAGGACCAUAGAAGGCUGCUUGCAUCAUAUGAAGUGGAACCUGAGUCAGAUAACUAUUAUAUCAAUGCAGAUCGAAACAUGGUUGAAGGGCAGUUGAAGAGUGUUACUUAGAUGGCGGAGGCAGACAAUGACUUUCUUUUUCGGCUGCUGAAUGCAGUCGGGUGGAAUGUUGCAUGAUGAGUGUCAUUGAUUUAACUGACUGGAGGAAGUCUGUCUCUCACUUCGCUCAUUUGUAUGAUAAAAGGACACUGCUUCCUGGAAGAAUUCCUUGUGAUUUCCUUUUAAGUUGCUGGUUAAUUUGGUGAAAGAAUAACCAGACAUCCAACAGAAUAUUGAAAACGAUCACAGUUUCAUUUGUCACAUAAGGAAUACAGAAUGCGACAUGGUAAAGGCUGAGACAACCAAAUUUAUAGUCACUCAUGAAGAAACACGGUUCAGUCCGUUACUCUUACAAAUAUUGGACUGAUUUUUCACAAAGACCACAUGAAUGUAUUCAGAAAGUUUCUGACUUACUGUACUAACUGCCUAUACACAUAUGUUGUUUACUUUUAGAUUUCUUUGUCGUGUCAUGAAAUAUUUCCAGUAAUGAAAUUUUAAUGUACUAUAUCUAAUUCAGACAGUAACUAGAAGAA